rnacentral:rRNA from 1 species
AUUGAACGCUGGCGGCAGGCCUAACACAUGCAAGUCGAGCGGAUGAAGGGAGCUUGCUCCUGGAUUCAGCGGCGGACGGGUGAGUAAUGCCUAGGAAUCUGCCUGGUAGUGGGGGAUAACGUCCGGAAACGGGCGCUAAUACCGCAUACGUCCUGAGGGAGAAAGUGGGGGAUCUUCGGACCUCACGCUAUCAGAUGAGCCUAGGUCGGAUUAGCUAGUUGGUGGGGUAAAGGCCUACCAAGGCGACGAUCCGUAACUGGUCUGAGAGGAUGAUCAGUCAAACUGGAACUGAGACACGGUCCAGACUCCUACGGGAGGCAGCAGUGGGGAAUAUUGGACAAUGGGCGAAAGCCUGAUCCAGCCAUGCCGCGUGUGUGAAGAAGGUCUUCGGAGUGUAAAGCACUUUAAGUUGGGAGGAAGGGCAGUAAGUUAAUACCUUGCUGUUUUGACGUUACCAACAGAAUAAGCACCGGCUAACUUCGUG